AUUGAACGCUGGCGGCAGGCUUAACACAUGCAAGUCGAGCGGGGGGAUGGUGCUUGCACUAUCACUUAGCGGCGGACGGGUGAGUAAUGCUUAGGAAUCUGCCUAUUAGUGGGGGACAACAUCUCGAAAGGGAUGCUAAUACCGCAUACGUCCUACGGGAGAAAGCAGGGGAUCACUUGUGACCUUGCGCUAAUAGAUGAGCCUAAGUCGGAUUAGCUAGUUGGUGGGGUAAAGGCCUACCAAGGCGACGAUCUGUAGCGGGUCUGAGAGGAUGAUCCGCCACACUGGGACUGAGAAACGGCCCAGACUCCUACGGGAGGCAGCAGUGGGGAAUAUUGGACAAUGGGGGGAACCCUGAUCCAGCCAUGCCGGGUGUGUGAAGAAGGCCUUAUGGUUGUAAAGCACUUUAAGCGAGGAGGAGGCUCUUUUGGUUAAUACCCAAGAUGAGUGGACGUUACUCGCAGAAUAAGCACCGGCUAACUCUGUGCCAGCAGCAGCCGUAA
rnacentral:rRNA from 1 species